GAUGAACGCUGGCGGCGUGCCUAAUACAUGCAAGUCGAGCGAACAGACGAGGAGCUUGCUCCUCUGACGUUAGCGGCGGACGGGUGAGUAACACGUGGAUAACCUACCUAUAAGACUGGGAUAACUUCGGGAAACCGGAGCUAAUACCGGAUAAUAUCUUUAACCGCAUGGUUUAAUAGUGAAAGACGGUUUUGCUGUCACUUAUAGAUGGAUCCGCGCCGCAUUAGCUAGUUGGUAAGGUAACGGCUUACCAAGGCAACGAUGCGUAGCCGACCUGAGAGGGUGAUCGGCCACACUGGAACUGGAACACGGUCCAGACUCCUACGGGAGGCAGCAGUAGGGAAUCUUCGGAAAUGGGCGAAAGCCUGACGGAGCAACGCCGCGUGAGUGAUGAAGGUCUUCGGAUCGUAAAACUCUGUUAUUAGGGAAGAACAAAUGUGUAAGUAACUAUGCACGUCUUGACGGUACCUAAUCAGAAAGCCACGGCUAACUACGUG
rnacentral:rRNA from 1 species